AAUCUUUACAGAUUUGCAAAAUACUACAAAAACAGUAAUGACAAAGACACCAGGACCCUCAUCAAGGGAUAUGGCAUUCGUUUUGAUGUUCUGGUUUAUGGUGAGGCAAAGAAAUUUGAUUUUCUAAAAACAAUUCUCCACAUGGGCGCACUCGUGUCACUUCUAAGACUGGUGGAUUGUUUGUUUGAUUUAUUGGCUUGGCUUUUAGUGAAAGGGUACAAAGAGAACAAAUUUAAAUAUCUGCAUGUAUAUGGGCCUACAUCCAAUGCAGCGCCUACUGAAAUGAAAGAUUCACAUUUUACUUCCCCCAUCACUACUUAUAGAUCUAUCAGUUGAUUCCAGGCUUUCAUUUAUCAAGAAUCAUGGUUAUAAUCUGUAUAAUAACUGUGAUUUUCUAUUGAUGUUUCUGUAAAAAAAUGCAUUGAAACAAAUGUACGUUACCUUUUAUUUUACUCAUUUUCUGUACAUUGUGAUUCAUUUUUAUGUGAUAGUCACAUUUAAUUGUGAAACUCAUGUAUUAUAUAAAUCCAGUGCACAAUAAAAUAAAUUCAAUGGAUGCACCUG